rnacentral:rRNA from 1 species
UGGUGGCUAUAACGCCGGGGCUACACCUCUUCCCGUUCCGAACAGAGAAGUUAAGUCCGGUCGUGCCGAUGGUACUGCGCAAGCGGGAGAGCAGGUUGCCGCCGUUU